rnacentral:rRNA from 1 species
CCUACGGGGGGCAGCAGUGGGGAAUAUUGGACAAUGGGGGCAACCCUGAUCCAGCCAUGCCGCGUGUGUGAAGAAGGCCCUCGGGUUGUAAAGCACUUUCAGUGAGGAAGAACGCCUGGUGGUUAAUACCCAUCAGGAAAGACAUCACUCACAGAAGAAGCACCGGCUAACUCCGUGCCAGCAGCCGCGGUAAUACGGAGGGUGCGAGCGUUAAUCGGAAUUACUGGGCGUAAAGCGCGCGUAGGUGGCUUGAUAAGCCGGUUGUGAAAGCCCCGGGCUCAACCUGGGAACGGCAUCCGGAACUGUCGAGCUAGAGUGCAGGAGAGGAAGGUAGAAUUCCCGGUGUAGCGGUGAAAUGCGUAGAGAUCGGGAGGAAUACCAGUGGCGAAGGCGGCCUUCUGGACUGACACUGACACUGAGGUGCGAAAGCGUGGGUAGCAAACAGGAUUAGAUACCCGUGUAGUC